GCUCACGGCUUCCAUGGAUUUGCCUGCUUGCUACAACUUUUUUCUCUGCUCUGCAAUCCUCCUCCUGCGGCUUCAUUCCUCCAGCUUGUCGUAGAAGGGCCACGUGACAUUCGAGAGCGUACUCCGUUAUUGCCAUCUGCAGGCGCCUAAAAGGUGCCCCCUGAUGGAUGACGUAUAAUUUGCGCGCCGACUUCCGAAAGGCGGUCCUCCGCUUCCAUUGGGUUCCCACGCCGGCUUCUCCGGCAAGGCACGUGUGCUGCUGAAUGGAGCUGGUCGCUGGCAGCUACGAGCAGGUCCUCUUUGGGUUUACAGUGCACCGCGGGCCCGCGAAGAGUGGCCACCGGGAGACAUGGACUCCUGUGGCUGACUUCACUCACCAUGCGCACACUGCCUCCCUGUCAGCGGUGGCAGCCAACAAUCGCUAUGUGGUCACUGGCAGCAAAGAUGAGACCAUUCACAUUUAUGACAUGAAAAAGAAGGUAGAGCAUGGGGCUCUGGUGCAUCACAGUGGGUUCUCUGUAAAGCCCUGGCUUUCUGGAACUUGCCCUGUAGACCAGGUUGGACUCGUCUCAGAGAUCUGCCUGUCAUGGGAUUAAAGGCACAGUAACUUGCCUGAAAUUCUAUGGCAGCCGGCACUUAAUCAGUGGAGCAGAAGAUGGGCUCAUCUGUGUCUGGGAUGCAAAGAAAUGGGAGUGCCUGAAGUCCAUUAAAGCUCACAGGGGACAUGUGACUUUCCUUUCUAUCCACCCGUCUGGCAAGUUGGCUCUGUCUGUUGGUACUGAUAAGACAUUAAGAACGUGGAAUCUUGUAGAGGGAAGAUCAGCUUUCAUAAAAAAUAUAAAGCAAAAUGCUCACAUAGUGGAGUGGUCCCCAAACGGAGAGAAGUACGUAGUUGUUGUGAUGAAUAAAGUGGAUGUCUAUCAUCUGGACACGGCGUCUGUGA
rnacentral:lncRNA from 1 species